rnacentral:rRNA from 1 species
GUGUCAGCAGCCGCGGUAAUACGUAGGGUGCGAGCGUUGUCCGGAUUUAUUGGGCGUAAAGAGCUCGUAGGCGGUUCGAUAAGUCGGGUGUGAAACCUCCAGGCUCAACCUGGAGACGCCACCCGAUACUGUUGUGACUAGAGUCCGGUAGGGGAGCGUGGAAUUCCUGGUGUAGCGGUGAAAUGCGCAGAUAUCAGGAGGAACACCUGUGGCGAAAGCGGCUCACUGGACCAUAACUGACGCUGAUGCACGAAAGCUAGGGGAGCAAACAGGAUUAGAUACCCUGGUAGUCCACGCCGUAAACGUUGGGCGCUAGGUGUGGGGUCCUUCCACGGAUUCCGUGCCGCAGCUAACGCAUUAAGCGCCCCGCCUGGGGAGUACGGCCGCAAGGCUAAAACUCAAAUGAAUUGACGG